rnacentral:piRNA from 1 species
UGACUUGCAUCAGGUUAAGGGCCUCU